GACGUCAAAUCAUCAUGCCCCUUAUGUGUAGGGCUACACACGUGCUACAAUGGCUGGUACAGAGAGAUGCAAUACCGCGAGGUGGAGCCAAACUUAAAAACCAGUCUCAGUUCGGAUUGUAGGCUGAAACUCGCCUACAUGAAGCUGGAGUUACUAGUAAUCGCGAAUCAGAAUGUCGCGGUGAAUACGUUCCCGGGUCUUGUACACACCGCCCGUCACACCAUGAGAGUUGGCAAUACCCGAAGUCCGUGAGCUAACCGCAAGGAGGCAGCGGCCGAAGGUAGGGUCAGCGAUUGGGGUGAAGUCGUAACAAGGUAGCCGUAGGAGAACCUGCGGCUGGAUCACCUCCUUUCUAAGGAA
rnacentral:rRNA from 1 species